GGCCGAGUAGGUGUUUUCUACCCCGCCCCCGGGCACGCAGUGAGGGCGGAGGCUGCCGGAAAGCUCGGCCAGCGCCGGGCGCGGGGGAUCGAUGACUCGGCCGGUGGGCACGGCCACCUGGGUGAGGGGCAGCGGAGGGAGGGGGCGGCGGAGCGCCGAUGUCAUGGAUGGGCUCGGAGGGCCUGGCGGGAGGGGGGCGCCAGUGUUCAGGGCCGUUUUGGUGGCUAGGCGGGAUUGGCCGGAGCCCCGGUGAUCGCGCUCGCCUCGCCGACCGCCAUUUCACAUCCUGCAGAGAAGGCGGGGGCAGCCGCGGAAACGGCUUUUUACAAGGUUCACCAGCAUCCUGUGCUUGUGAGGCAUUAUGCAGACUGUAUGCAAACUGGGUAGUAAGCAAGAAGACAAACAGAUUGCCUCCUCUGCUUGCAGUUACAGGGAGAAGCAAAACUUUGAAAAAACAACUCUCAACUCUUCCACUUCCAUAAAUUAGCAGUUGGGACUUUCCUGGUGGUCCAGUGGUAAAGAAUCCGCCUUCCAAUGCAGGGAACGUGGGUUUGAUCCCUGGUUGGGGAACGAAGAUCCUACAUGCCUCAGGGAAACUAAGCCCAUGCACCACAACUACUGAACCCACGCACCUCAACUAGAGAGACUGUGUGCUGCAAACUACAGAGCCCAUGCUCUCUGGAGCCCGGGUGCCACAACUAGAGAGAAGCCUGUGUGCCGCAGCAGAAAGAUCCCGCAUGCCGCAAUGAAGAAAGAUCCCGCAUGCCACAAAGGCCCGAUGCAGCCAAAAAUAAAAUAAUUAAUUAAUUAAUUAAUAUUUUUUAAAAAGAGAGAUCUUUUUAAAAUAAAUAAAUAAAUAAAUUUCAGGUCAAAGGUCACUUCCUCAGGGAAGCCUUUCCAAGCUAUAUAUUUGAUUAUGGUUCUCUGUUACACACUCUAAUUGUACUAUGUUUCUUUUUUUCCAGAGCACUUACCUGUGGUUGCAAUAAUCCAUUCAUUUGUGUUUUAUUUGAUUAAUUUCUCUACCUGCCUUGGACUAGAAUACUGCAAUCAUUAUCUGAAUAAGCAGUGAUUAUAAUGCUGUUAUAAACACAGGCCAGUUAACGUGAUCUCAUUCAUAUCACUGACAAGAUGGGUUAAAGCUUGAGGCUGAAAUACAAUUAGUCCAAAAAUACUUAUGUACCAGGUAUUAUGCUAGGUGCUGGGAAUAUAGAAGUGAGAAUGACAGGCAUGAUUUCAGCCUUCAUGCUAAUAGUCUAGUGCAGGGUUUGGCAAACAUUUCCUGUGAAGGGACAGAUAAAUUUUAGGCUUAUCAGGCCAUAUGGUCUCUCUCACAACUACUCAACUUUGCCAUUGAAACACAAAAGCAAUCAUCAACAAUACAUAUAGGAAAGAGUGUCUGGGUUCCAAUAAAACGUUAUUUAAAAAACAGGCGGGGGGACUGGGUUUGAUCCAUGGACUAUUGUUUACUGACCCCUGGUCUAGUGGACAAGACAGCCAUUAAACAGAUCAUUUGAGAUGACAAAUACUUCAAAAGAAAAGGACAGGGUGACAUAAAGUCACAUGGCAGAGCUGUCCAACUUCGUCUAGAGAGAAGAAUAAAGACUUUCUUGAAGAAUAUGACUUUAAGCUAAUAUUUAAAGAGGAAGAGGAGUUACCCGGAUAAAAGUAAGGGCAACAGGCUUGAUGAAGAUCUAAAGCAUGGAAAGAGCGAGAAUAGAAAUAAAUUCAUUCUUAAACUUGGCGAUUGAUACGGAGAGGGAGAUGAAAUUGUGUAAGGAUAGAGUACAGAGUGAAAAGGCAAACUAAGAGUGUUGAAAAAAUUUCAGAACCUAGUACUUCCCUAGAGGAAGAGAUGCCAGCAGGAAAGACUCAGAAGGAAUGAUCGGUGAGGUGUAGCAGUAGCAGGACAUUUAAGACCUUCCAUCUUGUGACCUAAAUGGGAAGGAAAUCCAAAAAAGAGGGGAUAUAUGUAUAUGUACAGCUGAUUCACUUUUGCUGUGCAGUAGAAACUAACACAACAUUGUAAAGCAACUAUACUCCAAUAAAAAUUUAAAAAUAAAUAAAAGGUGAAUAGUUUGUAUAAAAAGAAAAGACCUUCCAUUUUGUGUGUUGGAUAUGUAAGUUGGGAGAUACCAGCCUAAAGGCUGGGAACCUCUGAGAACUGGUACACGUUCUGAAGGACUAGAUAGAUAGAUAGAUAGAUAUAAAAGAAUAGACCUGAGGACUGACAAAGUGUGAAUGGUAGGGUAGAAAAUGAAGAGGUAGUGAAGGAAUCAGAAAUAAUAGAUAGGAACACAUCACUGGUAUAUAGUAGGUGCUCAAUAAUGUUUUGAUAAGUGAAUGGAAGGAUAACAGUAUAAUUUAAAAUCAAAGCACCCAAGAGGGAAAGGGUUUCAGUAACAGGUUGACCUAUAGUUUCACAUGCUUAAAAGAGCUAUUGCUCAAGGCUAGUUUCCUUGACUGUCUGAGAAAGGUUGCGGGUAAGGACUCAGUUACUUUUGAUGCCCUAGUGCAGUAUAAGCCUGACCUCUAAUUCCUUCCUCUAAGGAAAGCUGACCUGGCUCUUUUCUUCCCUGAAGAUUUCAAUGAGUAGGAAUAGGGACCUUCCUGUGUCAGUACAUGUUCAAACUAAAAAUAUAAAAUUAGAAUAGGAGCAAGAUUUUUCAUAGAUUGCAAUGACACAAGGUCAACUGUUUUCUCUUGGUCAUUUAUAUUAAACAUGUAUUUUAUUACUUAAUUCUAAACAUUUUGUAUUGCUGUUUUAACUUUUUAUUAACUUCUUGUUGAUAUCUAUAAAGUCCUGUGUCAGAUGCUGUGGGUGAUUCAAAAAAAUGUAAGACAUAGCUCUGGGCUAAAGUAUUAUGUAACUGACAAGUAAAUUGUAAGUUUCUUGA